rnacentral:rRNA from 1 species
GAGAUGAAAUCGAGUAAGGCGAGGCACGUGAAACCUUGUCUGAAUAUGGGGGGACCAUCCUCCAAGGCUAAAUACUACUGACUGACCGAUAGUGAACUAGUACCGUGAGGGAAAGGCGAAAAGAACCCCGGAGAGGGGAGUGAAAUAGAUCCUGAAACCGUAUGCGUACAAGCAGUGGGAGCCCA